rnacentral:rRNA from 1 species
AUUGAACGCUGGCGGCAGGCCUAACACAUGCAAGUCGAGCGAGCGGCGGACGGGUGAGUAAUGUCUGGGAAACUGCCUGAUGGAGGGGGAUAACUACUGGAAACGGUAGCUAAUAACGCAUACCAUCAGAUGUGCCCAGAUGGGAUUAGCUAGUGGGUGGGGUAACGGCUCACCUCGGCGACGAUCCCUAGCUGUGCUGAGAGGAUGACCCGCAACAUGGGAACGGAGAACCGGUCCAUAGUCCUACGGGAGGCAGCAGUGGGGAAUAUUGCACAAGGGGCGCAAGCCGGAUGCAGCCAUGCCGCUGGUGUGAAGAAGGCCUUCGGGUUGUAAAGCACGUUCAGCGGGGAGGCGUUACCCGCAGAAGAAGCACCGGCUAACUCCGUGCCAGCCGCCGCGGUAAUAC